UCAGAAUGUGCUUGCUCUAUUUUCAAACAAAGAAAAUAAUCUGAAGUUAUCUUUAUUUCUAAAUUAUUGUGCCGUGAUUUUACCAGUCCAGCCCACUAUGGACUAGAUUUUUCUCCAUGUGGCCUAUCUAAAAUGAGUUUGACAGCCCUGUUCUAAUGUAAUUUUGAAUUUACUCCAUACGUUUUUGCGUUGCUUUUAUUUUGAAACGCAUCCCGGAAAUGACUUCCAACGCCGCGUGGAGCUUGACAGCCGUCCUCUAGUCGGCCGAUGAGAGCCUCCUUGAGUUCAGUCCUCCCGGUGUGCACAGAGGACGCGGUGUGCUCCGGACGCAGCAAGCAGGACCGGAGCCUGGCCGACUCGGAGCAGCUGAGCCCCCGGACGGAGCACACAGCGACGGGAGUCAGUGGGCUCCGUGCUGCGCCACCUCAGAUGAUCCCUCGCCGCUCCACGGAGGACACACUGCAGGUGAAAUCGGCGCUAAUCACAAGAUGAAAGGAGCGGACGGGGGCGCGAGAGUGACGGUGGACAAGCUGAACGGGGACCCCAAGAGGAGGCCGAGCUACCCGGGAGAGCUUCGGGCCAAACACGUCAACAUGUCCGGCAAGAUUUGGCCAAACUCCCCGAACAACGCCACCAGCACCGCAGCGCCUAACCGCACCGACUGCGCGCCCUAAUUUGGAUGAGCGCGCCGUGGUGGUAAGUGAUGGACGGAUGGAGGAGGAGGGGGACGUCCGGAGUUUGUUCGGGAUGCUGCUGGGCGGACUAAAGAGGGGAUGCACCAGCUGGACCCUCUCCUGAAUUUGUCCUUGAAGGACCUCCAUGGACCCCCUCAGGCAUGACCAUCAAAAGCAUUAUUCUAGUUCAGUGGUUCUUAACCUUGUUGGAGGUACCGUCCGAACCCCACCAGUUUCAUAUGCGCAUUCACCGAACCCUUCUUAGUGAAAAAUAAAAUGUUUUUUUUUUUUCAAAUUCAAGACAAAGUUAUAUGUUUUUGGUAACACUUUAGUAUGGGGAACAUAAUCUAAGUCAGGGGUCCCCAACCUUUUUGUAGCUAAGGACCGGUCAAAGUUUGAUAAUUGGGGGGGGGGGGGUAAUAUUUUUUAAAAAACAAUUUUUUGUCAUGAAAAAGGGAGUUUUUUUGGGUUGGUGCACUAAUUGGAAGUGUAUCUUGUGUUUUUUAUGUUGAUUUAAUAACAAUUUCUUUUUUUUUUUUAUAAAAAAAUACUAAAAUUAAUAAAAAAAUAUUCUGCUGCCCGGUACUGGUCCACAGCCCGGUGGUUGGGGACCACUGAUCUAAGUAACAAAGUCUUAAUUUAAAGUUAUUAGAACACUAGGGGAACAUAUUCUAAGGAACAAAUACUUAAUUUAGAGUUAUUUGGACAUUAGGGGAACAUAUUCUAAGUAAUAAAGACUUAAUUUAGAGUAAUUUGGUUAGGGUUAGGGUCAGGGUUAGAGGGAUAGGGUUAUAACAAGGCCAUGCCGAAUAAGGGAUUAACAAGUACUUAAUCAUGUCUAGUUAAGAGCCAUUAUGUUACUAAUUUGCAUGAUAAAAGCAACUAAUUAAUGGAAAAUAUGUUCCCCAUACUAAAGUGUUACCAUGUUGUUUUUACUAGUACACAAAAUGAACCGUGCAUGAACAUUUGUUCAAACAAAACCAACACAGUGCAUAAACUCACAACAAAUUACAAACCUGCAAAUCAUUCAGCUGUUGCCGUAUCCGUAAUACGCCGAUAGGGUGAAGUUUGUAAUCAUACGAUGAGUCGGGUGUGUUUUGACCUCCGCCAAACCCUUAAAGCCGACUCACCGAACCCCUAGGGUUCGAUCGAACCUAGGUUAAGAACCACUUUUCCAUUCAACUUUAUAGGAACACCUCCAUGGACUUUCACCAGUUCUCUCCCCUUUAAGAAUGCUUGGAGAAGAACCCCUUAGCUUGUCUUUACAGAGAUGUCUCACUCUGACGACAUGUGAUCUGCCUUGUUCCCUUCUUUCACAGCAGGGUGCUGUUGUACUAUUCAGGUAUCUUCAAAUGUAGCAGAAGAUGUAGCUUACGGUCUUGCUGUAAAGAGACACACACACAUGAUAUCCUAUCAAAUCUCCCUAGUAUCUUUUUAGAGUCACAUUUGAGCUUCAAUGCAAACCUUUGUAAUGUCCAGCUCACUUCCUGUCCUCAAAGUGACUUUUGUUGCUGUAGGACUGCAAUGAUUAUAAUGAUAAACUAUGCAUUUAUUCCA